rnacentral:rRNA from 1 species
GACGAACGCUGGCGGCGUGCUUAACACAUGCAAGUCGAACGGAAAGGCCCUGCUUUUGUGGGGUGCUCGAGUGGCGAACGGGUGAGUAACACGUGAGUAACCUGCCCUUGACUUUGGGAUAACUUCAGGAAACUGGGGCUAAUACCGGAUAGGAGCUCCUGCUGCAUGGUGGGGGUUGGAAAGUUUCGGCGGUUGGGGAUGGACUCGCGGCUUAUCAGCUUGUUGGUGGGGUAGUGGCUUACCAAGGCUUUGACGGGUAGCCGGCCUGAGAGGGUGACCGGGCACAAGGGGACUAAGGGACGGACCAGAGUCCUACGGUAGGCAGCAGGGGGGAAUAUUGUACAAUGGGCGGAAGCCUGAUGAGGCAACGCCGCGGUCGUGAUGACGGCCUUCGGGUUGUGAACCGCUGUCGCCUGUGACGAAGCGGGUGUGACGGUAAUGGGUGAAGAAGCACCGGCUAACUACGUG